rnacentral:rRNA from 1 species
UAAUACGAAGGGGGCUAGCGUUGCUCGGAAUUACUGGGCGUAAAGGGCGCGUAGGCGGACAGCUUAGUCAGAGGUGAAAGCCCAGGGCUCAACCUUGGAACUGCCUUUGAUACUGGCUGUCUUGAGUUUGGGAGAGGUGUGUGGAACUCCGAGUGUAGAGGUGAAAUUCGUAGAUAUUCGGAAGAACACCAGUGGCGAAGGCGACACACUGGCCCAAUACUGACGCUGAGGCGCGAAAGCGUGGGGAGCAAACAGG